rnacentral:rRNA from 1 species
AUUGAACGCUGGCGGCAGGCCUAACACAUGCAAGUCGAGCGGAUGAAGGGAGCUUGCUCCUGGAUUCAGCGGCGGACGGGUGAGUAAUGCCUAGGAAUCUGCCUGUUAGUGGGGGAUAACGUCCGGAAACGGGCGCUAAUACCGCAUACGUCCUGAGGGAGAAAGUGGGGGAUCUUCGGAUCUCCCGCUAUCAGAUGAUCCUAGGUCGGAUUAGCUAGUUGGUGGGGUAAAGGCCUACCAAGGCGACGAUCCGUAACUGGUCUGAGAGGAUGAUCAGUCACACUGGAACUGAGACACGGUCCAGACUCCUACGGGAGGCAGCAGUGGGGAAUAUUGGACAAUGGGCGAAAGCCUGAUCCAGCCAUGCCGCGUGUGUGAAGAAGGUCUUCGGAUUGUAAAGCACUUUAAGUGGGGAGGAAGGGCAGUAAGUUAAUACCUUGCUGUUUUGACGUUACCAACAGAAUAAGCACCGGCUAACUUCGUG